CCGCCUCUGAAAACCAAGAGAAAAUGAGAGUCCCCAGCUCCCCAGCCCUUGUAUUUUUUAUCCUGCUUCUAUUGUCCUGGUAUCUCUGUUCUCUCACCCCCCUCAAAAACCAGAGGAGUUCCCCCCUCCCACUGUCUCAAGCACCCAGCCAUCAGUGCUUCUUAGCAACUCAAUGGGAAAAAAAUUCCACAAUAACAAGGAAAGAAAAGGAAAGAAAAAAACCCUAACAAAGUUUUUCUCUGGCUCACAGGCCUCCUUGGCUAAUCAUGCAUGCGCCACUCAGGUCAGUAUUUUUAAGCACAUAAAGACUCCUGCGUUUUCUGUAAGGCAGAAGUGUACUUCAUUCAAGCUCCUGGGUUAUAUUUCUGGACUAUAAGUCUUUUUUUGUUUUGUUUUUGCUUAUACCUCAUCUAGUGUUUGUAAGUUUCUUAGUUGUUUGACAUCUAUCCCAUUCUCUUUUGUUCUCUUUUCUUAACUAUUCCUUUUACCUCUCAAAAAAGAAAGUCAAAGGAUAUUUUGACUAGUGGAAAUCUUGAGUUUAGUGGUUUUCAUUAAUUUUACAGCAUUGGAUAGUGUAAACAGUUGUCACUUUCAUUUGUUGUGUCUUUGAAAUAGCUUUCUUCUCAGCAGAGCUCCCCAGACUGGCAUGCUCACAAUCCGAUGGUGCCACAUUGCUUCAGGGAGGGAGCAGGAUGUGCCCAGAAGCUCACCAUGCAACACAUCUGCUACAGAAGGCAAAAAGGCUUGGCUGGGGCUACACUUGCUAUGAGUAGUCUGUGAAUCAGAAGAACUGCUGCAACCAGGAUGUGCCAACGGAGCCAGUGCUGGAGCUGCUGCACCACCUUUGUUCCAAAGAUUCUGGACUCACGGACAAAGCCACUGGCCCAAAACCUGUAUUUCACUGUGUGAGGGCUUCAGGACUAACUUCCCUGCUACAGACCAUUUCCAGAUCUAUAACCUGUUUUAUAGAGCAAGAUACUCAGCAAGCCACACUAAGAAGGAAAGGCAGCAAUGAAAAGGGUAAGUUUUAAAGAUAAAGCCCCAGUAAGUUCACAUGGCAUGAGUUGAGUUUGGAGAUAUUAUCUUAGAUUGCUAAUAAGAUAAGAAAAAACCUGUUGCUACUGCUGAUUUAGAAGGACAAAGUAAAUUAUUCACUGCUGACAAAUUUCAAAUUAGUCUUGCUUUGUCUAAAAAUUAUGCCUUAAUUUAAACAAGUCCCUGUGGAAACCGUAUGGAUUUCAUUAUAAGUGUAAUGAUCCUUUCUUUCAGUCUACUUAAUAAAUAUGUUUUUCUGCAGAUUUUUUCAUCAUAUCUACUGAAUGCUGCUUCCAUUCUUUUGUCCCUAAUUUUUGAAGAGAAAAAUGUUGAUGUCUUUGGCUUUAUUUUUGUUGUCAACUAGCCAAAUGUGGCUAAAGUACAGCAAAUCCAAAAUUCCUUGGUAUAACAGUUUUUGGGGUUUUUUUUUGUUGAUGUUGGUUUUUUUUGUUGUUUGGUUUUUUGUUUUGUUUUGUUUUGUUUUUUGGUUUUUGGUUGUUUUUGUUUUGUUUUGUUUUGGUUUUUUGUUUGUUUUUUUUUUUUUUUUUAAUGCAGGAUAUGCAGUUCAAUAUAACCAGUAUGUGGAAUUGCUUAAAUUCAGGUUUGAUAUGUAAAAGAAACCUUAGCAAGUACACCAAACCCCUACAUCUUCUGUUCUCUAAUUUUCAUUUGAUCACACUUACCAGGCAAUACAAAGUAUGAAUGGUGCAGGACAAUUACAGAAAAAUUACACAACCAACAGUUUCAUAGGCUGCAAGUACCAAGGAAGAGAUAGGUCUUAUUUCCAAAUUGCACACAAUAUUCUUUCUUCUAGGCAUUGUGCUUUCCUUCACUUAUGAGUUUAUGUCUUUUACACCUUUUCUUCCUAAGACAUUACAUUUGAAUUAUUAAUUCUCAGUUUCACCAAUAUUUGUUUCUCUUGGACCUUUAUUCAAAAUGCCAUCAGAAGAAAAUCUGUGAUGACAACUGUGUAAGUCCUUAAAUCUCACAAAGGCAACAAAAAUUACACUUUUGUCCAAUAUUGGUAAUUCACAGUUUUUCUCUGCAAAGUAUCAAUACAGGUUUACUAUGCAUGUCACUUAGCGUUUAGCUUUGCAGUGUUUAUAUAGCUUGACCAUAUCACAUGUAGUUUCAUCCUGUUGCUUCCUUUUGUCCUUUCCCUUUCCCUUUCCCUUUCCCUUUCCCUUUCCCUUUCCCUUUCCCUUUCCCUUUCCCUUUCCCUUUCCCUUUCCCUUUCCUUUGCCCUUGCCCUUGCCCUUGCCCUUGCCCUUCCCAGAACUUCCCUUCCCUAUCAUUCUGUCACUUCCUUUCAUUCUGUCAAAGAACCACUGCUAUAUGCAGAUAUUUCUCAGUGACAUCACAAUCAGACUCUGCAAACAGUGUAUACUAACUCAAAAUUUUAUUUCUAUAGCAUGUAUAAAGAAAAUUAUGUUUCCUACAAUUUCACAGUAUUUACUAUGUAUUUAGAAAACAGUGGUUUUCAGAUCCUGUAGAAUGAGAUAGCUGGUGGAUGAAACAAUAUGCUUUACAGUGUAAAGAAAUGGGGAAGUGAAAGGGGGAGGAGAAGUGGUGUUAAUAUAAUACAGUUACAGGCAUAGAAAAAUUGAAAAUUCAGAAAAUGCAGUUUUCACAAGAAACGAAUUUUUUAUGGUCCUCAUUUAUAAAGAAAUUAAUUUCAAGCUCAAGACUACUCCAUAGUCUUCAUCUUCCACUUAUGUAGGCUUAUCAUAUAAAGUCCUUCUAUUUAAAAGAACACAUUCGUCAUUCCACAAAUUUAAGCAGUCUCCUCAGUAUCUGGGAUCACCUAAAAAUAUAAGGAAAGAGUCAUUAAAUCAAAUUAAAAAUUCUACAUGAAACCAGUGGAAAGUCCCUCUGUUUGUGGUACCUGUGCCACUUAUAUGUGCCACAGCUGGCUAAGUGGGAGUUCCCUACUCAUCACUGGUUUUACAUCCAGCUCUGUUUUAGGUUGUCGUUCGGUCACAGGAAGUCAUUCUUCCGGCAGAGCUGGAAGGAAUUUCCUAGAUAUAAAGACAUUAUUGACUACUAUUUUAACUGAUACUUUUUGGCUCAAGUUUAGCAUCAGCAAGAACCCAUCAACAGCCAUACACUGCACACAAACCAAUGUUCACUUUCAGAACACUGUCGCAGGACAGUGAGAAAUCAUUUUCUCUACUAUUUCCAGAUAGUUUUGGACUUCGACUGGUUUUGACCAGCUCAUUCCUUCCUGGCCAGGCUGGAGGUCAUAGUAAGAUAUAGGACAGCUAGAGCUGAAUAUCACGUUGUCUGCUGCCAGCACUUAGGUACUCCUCUGGUGGUUUAUACAAAUUAUUUACGGAGCUGAAGGGAAAUAAAACUGCUCCUUGUGCAGGGUAAGCUUAUAAGUCAGGCAUCAACUAACAGAUGCAGUUUAACCAGUAAGACAAAGGCAUGAAUGAAUAGCUCUAAAAUGCUGCAGAAAAACCUAACAGAUUGAAAGGAGAUUUAGUGGAGCAAGAGGGUAAUGUCCAUGGACAAGACAGUAUUUAUCAAUGUUGACUUCUGAUCUUACUCUGAAACAAAAUAGCUGAAGACUGAAACUGAAAUCUGGCCCUUGGCUUUCUCUGCACCAGUAUAUUUUGGAAUGAAAGGUUUGAUUUGGCAUAGAAACUGUUCCAAAUGUGAUAUGUAAUCUGGUUGGCCAGGGGGAUGUGCACAGAGGAGUGAUUUGAUUUGUUUCUUUGUUUGGUGUUUGAUUCUCUGUAUUUGGAAAAGUGGCUGCUUCUUUAAGGAUGUCUAUUUUAAUAGCAUAGUUCAUUAACACCAAGGAAGCAAUGAAAAUGGGUUUUUAAUUUUGAUGUGUAUUUUUCUUUGGUUGUUUUUGGUUUUAUUAUGGAUUUUUUUCAUUUGUUUGUUUGCUUGUUUGUUUUGAAUGAAAAAAAAAGAAACAUAAACCUACUGUAACUGUGAGAGCUUGCAAGGAACAACCUGACAUGACUGCAAUUUGUAUAAUGUUUUUACAGAUGUCAUUUGAAUAUUGUUUCAUCAUUCUUUUGACACUUUCUGUAAUUUUGAAGAGGUUUAGAAGUGCUUGACAUUAAUUUCUUUCAUUUCUUGUUAGUAGACUCUCUUGUUUUAGUAUCUUCGCAAUCUAAAAAUCUAAAAGAAACUUGAAUAUGACAGUCUAAAAAUGUCUGCAAUGUAUAACAAUUACAUAACUGAUGCUGACAAUACACUACUAAACUUUCUAACGUAACACUUUUCCCCUAAAGAUAAAGCUUUUUAAAAUUAUUUUAGUAUAUACAAAGUUAUACAUGCAUAGUACUUGUUCAUGACAUUGAGCCUUUAAAAGUACAGGAAUUAUCAUACUUUAUCCUACAAUGAUCUAAGACAAUACUUAUUCUCCAAAAAUUGCAAACAUUGUACUUUUUAUUUGCAAAUAAAUAAAAAUUUCAACAGCUUAUAGACUUCGUCAAGAGCUGAAAGAAAAAUAUUUAAGAUCUUUUCCCAAAUUUAGCAUUAAUCAGCCUUCAAAAAUCACUACUUCUGUGGAUUCCAAGCCUUUUCAGUCUGGUCAUUGCACAGAAUAGAAAGAAGUUGUGUAACAUAUGCAUGUUCUUCUAAAACCCAAAAGAUUUACAAGAAUAAUCAUGUAGCCUCAUUCCCCCUCAGUAUUCCCUCUCUCUGGUCUUCUCUCAUAAUGUGUGCAGUGUCCUGGGCAGAGUUACAAAAAACAUGUUAUACAAAACAUGAUGUAAUGAAGUACCAUGUAAGGCACAAGGUAUCAUACAAUGGUUUUAAGGAUAUUUCUUAAUUUCAUUUGUUUUUAAUUUCUGCUCCUGUGCCUGUUAGUACUUAUCUUCCUCAUUAUUCUCUACUGUUGUUCUUGCAAAUAAGUGAUUUUAAUACUUAUAAUAGAUAGCAGUAUGAGUCUCUAUCCCACAUAAGUUAAAUCACUUACUUUGUGUAGCUAAAAUGGCUGCAUUUGGAAAGAUAACAGGAAAAUAAACAUUACAUUAAUUUAAA